UUGCAGCCAGCUAAGCCAACUGUGCUCUUUUCCUUUUGGGGGCCCAGUAUGCAAUGGCCUAACAGUAGCCUCCUCAGUGUUGUAUGCAGCCUAUUGCCUGUAUCGGUUUCCUUAUGGGACUUUGGCAACAAGC
rnacentral:snoRNA from 1 species